rnacentral:lncRNA from 1 species
GGCUAAAAUUAAACAUGGUGCUUCUAUUAGCAACAUUUCUCCUUUUUCUGUUGUUCCAUAACGAAAAGGAGAAGAAAAAAAAACACCAAAAAAAAGUACAAUAACAAAGAAAACCAGCAUAAAAUCUGCAAGAUUGAUAAAAAAAAAAUUGCUUUUCUCCUUUUUUUCUGUAGGGAUAUUUGAAAAUAGAAAAUGAUUACAAGAACUGAAAGAUGUUGUCUAUGUUUGAGACAGAAUAUGAUUUGCUAACUCUCCACAAUAGUUGGACCACUGUACAUUCUUCCUUCCACUUUUAAAUCUUCAAGUUGGUCCUUUUCUUGUAGCCAUUCAUAAACACUCCUUUCCUCUUCUGGUAUGGAUAGUCCUUCAACUGAAAUUUCAUGAGAAUGUAGUUUAGUUUAGCACACCAAUUAUGUACAUAGAUAUAAUUAAAGUUUAUGUGGGGUCCAGCGUAAAUAGGAAUAUUGAUAGUGACAUGUGGGACCUAGAUUGCGUGCAGGCACAUAAGCACGCAAUGAGACAAAUCGGAAUCAUUCAAUCAAGAUCAAAUGACUUGGAAGCAAGAACAAAAACUGCGCGUAAUUGCGUCUUUUGUUUAGUACAACAAAUCCCGGUCCAAAAUCUAAGUAGUUACUUCUAAGCCAUAUGAUUUUGAUCGUAAAGUAUACAUCGCGUGACUUUGGUUGGAAUUCACGACUACAAGAAAUCUAAAUCCAUUAUAUUGCAACGAAUUCCAUCCCGUCACGCAAUCAUGAAUCUCAACCAUUGUAUAAGAUCAAACGACUUGCAUUAUUAAUUGUACUUUAAACCCAAGUUUGAAUCAAGCUAUUCGAUCUUUAUCCAACAACCAAGAUCGCUUAACAACAUGAUUGCGUGUUUUCUUUUACUGCGGAGAAUCCGAGGAUAUGUUAAGAGAUAUAGAAAUAGCUUAAUCAUAAAAUGAAGUGUACUAGUGAAGAAAGGCAUAACUAUUUCAAGUAAAAUGUCCAAAAGUAUGUAGAUUUUAGAGAAAAAUUUACCUUGGAAGUUGGAAAAUGGAUAAUUAGUGUAGUAUGUGCAGUGUCUUCCAUCAAAAUCAGAAUAUGGAGGACCGAGAACAUCAAGAACUGCACAUGCUGUCACUGCUGUGAAACAAUGCAAGUUGCCACCAUCCUCGGGAUAUAAGAUAGAAGGGUUGCAAGGAGCAGUGAAAUCAUCAUCAACCUUCACUUUUGCUAACCUCAAGUCAGGACCUGCAACAUUAGAAUAUAAAUGUUAAUUAUUUUUCUUUAAUGUUAUUAUUUUCAGCUAGGACAAUAAAAAAACAAUGAUAUGAACUAUAGUUUUAAAUUAGGGUUUGAAACUGCAAUUGCAACCACAUUUGUCCGUACUUCCCCUUAACAUUAAAUAUUGCAGCGUUACUAUGACCGCGACUACAGUUACAGCCGCAUUUGUCUGCACUUUCACCUGAAGUUAACAAUUGCAGCAAUGUAACGGUAACCGCAACUACAACUGCGGUGGUUUGGAUAUGGACAUAUUACUUCUAAACUACACAAAAAAUCUUAAAAUAUACAAGGGCAUCAAAUGUUAAUUAAAUAGCAAUUUUUUCUAUUUUAGGACUAUUCUAUUGUAUUGAAUAUGUCUAGCUUAGGUUCUACAAUUUUAAAAAGAAUAAUAGUACAAAAGCAUCAUCAUAAAUAAUAUAAGUACUACUCACUUUCUGAGGGUUUGAAAAUGGUAGGAGAUUCAGGAGGCAAGUCAACCACCCAAUCAUAUGAUUUGAUGUGCAUAGUUCCAAAAAGUAGCUUACUAAAAACUGUCAUUCCAGGGUGAUUAUGUAGAGGAAUAACACCAGAAGGUGGCAAACAAAAUAUUCCCAUCUGUACAUCACAUUAAAAAUGUGUAUAAGGUCACCAUCAAUAAAACAGAACUCUUCAACAAAAUUAAAAAAAUAAAAUGUGUGUUUUGUAAACUGUCUGAUCUAAAUCUAACUGCAUAUUUUGCGAACUGUUUGAUCGGAUCAAGAUUCCCUAGAGUCGAGAUAUUAUGAAUUCAUGCAGUCAAUACAACGGUAACAGUUGGAUCAAUAUCGGAUGGUUUGGAUUUCAAAUUCGGUAUUUUGGGUUUUCUAAAAAAAAUAAUCAAAAUGUACAUAUUUUGUGAAGAGUUCGAUCUGAAACCAACGGUCACCAAUGCAUUGACUGUGUGAAUGUAGAGAUAUCCCGAGUGAAGGGGGUCCAUUUUCUUACUAAACAUCAUAUAAACAAUUUAGACUGGCUUAGUUACUUACUGAGAAUUUCUCGCACUCGUAAAUGUGCAAGUAUGUAAUUUUUGGCCUUCUGUGAGAUGCAUUUGCCCGGAAAUAUGGCAUAUUAGGAUCCAAGUCAACAUCUUCUGGUUUUAUUCCAUCUGCUCAAAGGAGAAGCAAGAGUUGUAUACUUUGCAUGGCACAUGAAACUCAUGAAAAUUUUCAACAAUUUACUCAUAUUUAACCUAUAACCUAUGAACCACAUACACAAAAGCGGCACAGACACUGGUAAUAAUCGGAGAAAUUAAAAGACAUUAAAUACAAUCAAAUGUGUUGACACCGACACACUUUCAAUAUGAUGUGUCGGUGUUUCAUAGAAUAUAACUAUUGUAAUUAACCUUUGGAGUUUUGACAUAGACUAUAUAUCAUUAACAACUCUUACUAGAUAAUGAGUUUUUCUAUUCAUAGGCUUAUAGGCUUUAAGCCACCAACAAUGUUUUCCCUUUAUUGAUAAUAAUGUACUAAUAAUCACCAUACAAAAAACAAAAAUGUCAAGAACAUUUUUAGCUUUCUAUAAUGUCCAUUGUUAUUUAUUGACAUUUGAAAGUUCUAUACCUAAUAAUAGGGAUUUAAACUUUCAUUACUAACCUAUAAUAUAGCUAAUUAACACCUAAUUAGUCCUAAUUAACCACAAAGUAAAUCCAAAUAAUCCACAUUAGAAGUCAAAUAAAUUAAUGAAUGGAUAUGAACAUAAAAAAGGAGAGAAGAGAGACAUGAGAGAGAGAGAGAGAGAGAGAGAGAGAGAGAGAGAUUUAUUAUCAAUAUGUUUGAUGUCUCAUUCACAUUAGACCAUGGACUUGACAUCACAUUGUAAACUGAAUUUUUUUUCAAUGUAAAAUAUAUAUCUCGUGGGGAACAAAUAGCACAUGACAACAUGCAAAUUUUUAUUUUAUUUGAUAGCCAAAUCAAAGAACCUCGGAAUAUAUAAUAUAUAAAUAUACAAAUACAUAAAUAAAACACAUGCAUGCAAAUCAUGUUAAGACACAUCACAUCUCACACUAAGGAGAGAAAACAAUAGCAAGUACAUAAAAGAGCACAAAACCCCCCACACAACUCACCCAAUAGUAUUCAUGGUAUAAUGAUAACAUAUUAACAUCAAAAAUUGGUACAAUUUUGAAAAAAGUUAAAAGAGUUAAAAACAAAACAUGAAACAUGACACAUGUAAUAUUUUAUGAACAAAACCUUAUGAGUUGUGACAAAAAAAAAAAAAAUUUAAUUAUAAUUUCAAAGAAUGUGAGAAAAUUUUGACAAAACACAAGUAUCUUCAUUUACACAAAAAUUUUGACACAAGACACGGAUACACCGAAUAGGACACUGACACGUAUACACACGCAAUAAUUUGAGAAAUACAAAUGAUUGAAUACAAUAGAAUGUGUCCCUGUCAUGUCGGUGUCCAUUGACACAAAAUAUCAAACACGCUUUCAAUGUGAAAUAUCGUGCUAAUUAGUAAAAAAUCACACCUGGUAAACAAUUAAUAACAAUAACAAAUGAAAAUUAACACGACACCGACAUAUAGACACCAAAAUAAUUGAGAAAAUAAAAAUGAUUGAAUAUAAUCAAUGUAUCUCGGUAUCAUGUCAGUGACUAAGAAACAUAUAUAUCUGACACGCCUUCAAUCUGAAAUAUCAUUAAAUACAUUGGAAGAAAAAAAUACACAUCCCAUAACUAAUUAACAACACAAAAACAAUGAAACAAAUUAAGAAGAAAUAAAAAGAACAAGAACCUCGUACCUAAAACAGACCGCAACUUAUCAAUGUCCUCAGCUGGUGGGACAAUUCCUGUCCCACUAGAAGCAAAGACUUCCUUACAAGUCUCAAAAAGUUUCUGAACCGGCGGCAUCUUCUUCUGACGCCGCCGGUUCCUCCUUGACCUGCUGCUAGUAAUUGUUUCCUUUGGCAAUUCACAAAAAUCUCUUCCUUUUCUAUCAGCUAAGGUUCUCUCUAUCCCCAUUCAAACCAAAACCAAAAAUCUUUCAACUUUGUUCACCAACUGAAAAAUUCAAUGCAUCAAACUUAAUUUCAGCACAAAGGGUAUCCAAAAAAUAAUACAAAUUUCAAAAUUAACACGCCCCAUAAAAAUUUCAAAAACAGAGGAAACAGGGGAAUUGGAUUAAAUCAUAAAAUCUCUCAAAAAAUUUCACCAACUGAAAAAUUCAAUGCAAUAAACUUAAUUUAUACUAAAAGGGUGUCCAAAAAAACAAUUCAAAUUUGAAAAUCAAUACACCCCAUAAAAAAUUCAGAAACAGAGGAAUAGUAAUAAAAACAGAGGAAACAGGGGAAUUGGAUUAAAAAAUAAGUUAAAAAUAUAAAUAAUAAUUUAAAAUGUAAAUAUAAAUAUAAAUAAUAAGAAUGAGGUAAGUGUUUUUUUGUUUACAUUGUUUUUUUGGUCACUAAGAUGUUUUUUUUGGUUGCACAAGUUGUUGAGGAUGUUUUUUGAUGAGGUUAAGGAUGAAAAAUGUUGUAAAAUUUG